ensembl:lncRNA
UUCUUCAGAUAUCACUUGUUCUGUGUGAAUUUUAACAAUUCACUUGCUCUUCCUAACCCUGAAUUGCCUCAUCUGUAGAGUGGAGUUAUGAGGGUGUGGAGUUGAGGUAGUGUUAGACGGUACAAUGUGUGUAUGUAAUGGACUUGAUGGAUUUUUGCGGUGGCUGACAUGUAGAAACAAAUCAACAUCUGCAACUCACUGCAUUGUGAUAAAGUAAACCUUCCUUUCUUUAGUGAAAAUCAGCCAUCACCUUAAGAUAUCCUUCUGCAAAACGUCUCUCUGGAAGAGUAACAUGACCCAGAUAGGGACACAAACCUCUAACUCUACCAUACGGCCUCAACACUUUUCUCAGUUUGUCACAAGAUGGCCCCAAAUCCACAUUCUGCACAGCCCUAUAUUCACAGAAAUGGAAUUCACACAGUGAGAAGGUUGUACAGGACAAAAAUGGUAUGUGCAGGCAGCCCACUUAAUAACCAGUUGUUCAAUUGGCUAGAAGAAGAGAAAAAAGCAAGCUUUGUUUGUUUCAAUGGGCCAGAAAGCUCUUUAAUGCAUGUAAACAUUUUCUUCAAGGCUAGUCUCCAUAAGAGCAGUAAAUAAAUCAUCCCAUUGACACGUUACAGUUUUAUUGGUACAUGGCAGGGUUGACUGAGAAAAAACAGCAAUCUUUACCUUUUCUCUCUUUUAUAGUAACAAUUAUUUCAUUUUUUGUUAUUUGAAAAGUAUACAAAACUGCUUCAAAACCUCGUUCUCUUUAUCCUCUUAAAAUUGAAAUAUAAGGAAAAACUAUACAUGAUAAAUCAUGUAAGAUCCUGUCAGAUCAGGAAAACCUUAGAUUAAAAGUCUUAUGGGAUCAUGACUAAUUCAUUAUUUCUUCUUCUUCAUCUUACCUCAGAAUCCCUAAAGUCUUAAAAUGGAGCUUCAAGAAAUUUUUUUCCAGGCAGUGAAAAAUUCCUUCCUUUCUACUUUCUUUCUGCAAUGCUAGAAGAAAUGCCUGGUAAUUGAUUGCAACUGAUGUGCAAUACGUGAAUCAAUGGUAAAAUAAUUAACAUAGAACAUUAGUGUUCUAGUUCAACUUAAUGGUGGUGUGGCUUGGACAAGUCAUUUCAAGACAAUCCUUAGUGUGUGUGUGUGUGUGUGUGAGUGUGUGUGUAUGUGUGUGUGUGGUAAACGAGAUAGUCUCCACAGUGUACCAGACACAUGGCAGGCCCUUAAUGCUUCAUUUCAUUAUCACUGUUAUUUUACUCAUGAUGCAAUGGAAUAAUGGAAAGAGUUAAUUUAAUCUUCAGUAGAAAUAUCCAAACAUAACUGCCGUUUCUCAAUUUACUCUGAACUGCAGCCUCAAUGCUCACUCCACAUGGUGCCAUAUCUUCUAAGUUAGCCUGUUGUUUGUGUGAAGGUGGGGUGGGAUCAAAACAUCAAUGUUUUCCCAGGCAUGGUGGCACAUGCCUAUGAUCCCAGCACUCGGGAGGCUGAGGUAGGAGGAUUGACAAGAGUUUGAGGCCAGCCUGGGCUACAUAGUGAGUUCAGGACCAGUCUGAAUUACAAAGGAAGACCCUGCCUCAAAAAACCAAGAAAAAAAAAAUCAAUGUUUUGACAGUCACCGAUUUUCCCAUGUAUUAGAUUUUCUGCUCAGGAUUCAGCAGCUGGUGUUGUGGUUUUAAUUUUGUAAUUAUUCAUGAUUUCAUAACAAUCACUGACUCUGUGCCAACUCAGAAAAACUCAAUUCAGCAUUAUAUUGUAAAAGUAGUUAUCUUAAAACUGGUCAAAAUUUGAGAUUGAACAGCAAUAAGAAGAAAUAUGCUUUCCUAUUUUUACUACCUUAUUGUCAAUGGGUAUGGUAAAAAAAUGUAAUAAAUUUAAAAAUUUUUCGCUGUUUAUCUGAGAACCAGCAGAUUGUAGAAAUCUCUUCAUCUUUUAUUCUGGUUACCCUUGUCUACACCUGCCGUGUGCAGGAGACUGGCGUAUUUCAAUAUUUUCCAUCUGAAUUGUGAAUGAGUUGAUCAGAUGUCUCCGCCCUCCUUUCCUAAUCAAAUAUAUUGAUUUCCUACCAAGUUCUAGAAACUAUACUCAAGUGUGAACUUUCAAAUACAAAAGGAUAUAACCCAGGAGGUCAGGAGACCACACAGUAGUAAGAGGACAUGCAUGGAUGUGUUCGUUGACCAAUGAAAAUUCACAGAACAGUGUCCUCUCUGGAAGCACAGCUGCUGCUGUGAGCUCAAGGAGCAGUGGAGAGCCCAGGUUAGCUGGAUCAAGAGAGAGCAAGGCUCAAAACACUGGCUCAAAAGCUGCCAGAGAGGUACUGAGAAGCCAGCAUUAAGGGCCUUGUGAUCAAUGCCUGAGGACUUGGGCAUCAACUCUGAGCACCAGGAAGCUAAUGGUGGAUCAUGAGCAGAGUCCUGGUCCAACUCCUAUUUGGAGGGGACUGCACUGUUAAGCAGAUUUCCAACCACAUCAAAAUACAACAACUGCUAGGUUACUUUUGUAGUGGACUAAUGAGCAACAUGUAACGCCCAGCUGAACUAAAUCAGAGUGGUCUGGGCAUGGAGGAUCCACCUGAGGAUUGUUGUCAGUAGCCAUAAAAAGAAAACUGGAGGGGAAGAUCGUGGCCUGUUGAUUUUUCUAGGAGAAGCUUGCUGUGGAUGGUUUUCCUGAUGCGAACUAGGCUGUUCUCGUCAGAGGAGGAACUCAGGUUCUCGCUGUCGCUGGGAAUGGCUGCUGUUUUCAUCAGAGCAGCUCUGAUCUUCACCGUGAGCAUCACUUCCUGGCCCCAGUGUGGAUCCCUCAGCCUGGUGGCACAAAUCCUUCAUCUCACCAGCAUAGGUUUUCUGGCUCCCACCACUGGCCUUUGGGCCUUCCGGGUGCAGAUUCUCAAUAUGGACAAGCAUGAGACAUUGCCAUGGGCUCUAGGCCACUAGCUGGACUCAUGGAGGACAUUGCCUUGGACUCUAAGCCUUUAGCUGGACUUAUGUGGGAAAUUGCUGGAUCCAGGCCGUUGGCUUGAUUCUUUUGGCCUCUAGUGUGUGGUUAAUGUCUUGCAUUCCUUUGCAUUUCACUUUUUGGGUAAUUACCAUCAAAUAAUCCUAUAAACUAUGUGUCCUG